CACGUAGGGUGCGAGCGUUGUCCGGAAUUAUUGGGCGUAAAGAGCUCGUAGGCGGUGUGUCGCGUCGGCCGUGAAAACCUGCAGCUUAACUGUGGGCUUGCGGUCGAUACGGGGCAUCACUGGAGUUCGGCAGGGGAGACUGGAAUUCCUGGUGUAGCGGUGAAAUGCGCAGAUAUCAGGAGGAACACCGGUGGGCGAAGGCGGGGUCUCUGGGC
rnacentral:rRNA from 1 species